AGGAAGUAAACUGUGGACACUGGACAGUGAGUGACGUUACGUGCUGUAACUUAUAUUGAAAGAGUGCCCCACAAAGGUGUUCUGCAGUUCCCUUAUGGUUUAUGUACAUCUGUUAUAUAUGACUCCCGGCUGCAUCACCAACUCAAUAUCACACCACUUACAACUACUCUGAGUGCAUCCCACUUCCUAUGUAUUCUGGUUGCCAUGCCAACGCCCCGAGAAGCAGCAGACAACACUUUCCGGAAAGGUAUGCGGUGACGAUACCGAGGAUUUUGACUAGGGGAGUGGAUCUCCGGCCCCCGUCUACAUCAUUUCCUGGUGUUUGGUUGCUAAGCUACAUGCCGCCGGUGAGUGGAAGGAUGCGGCGUGACGUCACUGAAACGCUUGCGGAGACGUUCGCCGGAAGUGACGUACACCGGAAGUGCGGGCGGCCCAGGAUCAGGAACGGGAGACGCACGUGUGGAGAUGAUCUAUUGGAGGGUAUUUAGGUA